CCCAGCGAGGUCCCCGCGCGGUCGGGCCCGGCGCACCCUCUGUGGUCCCCCUGCAGGCGGCAGCGCCCGGUCGUUGCAGGUGCAGAGGAUGCAGGGGUGAGCAGCUUGCCUGUCUACCUCACAGAAACACCAGUACAGAUGCAGACAGCAUCACUGACUGCCCCAGCAUGGGCAUGGCUCCAAGACGGGAGGGCAAAGUGAAAUAUCCUGAGGUCCUUUCAAGCACGGAUCGCGGUGCCCAGUGGUCAAUACCCUUACUUUUAUCCAGUGUCUGCUUCAUUUAAACUUAAUCAACUCCAUCAAUGAACUGGAACAGGGAAUCGUCCCUGCGGCUCGUUGCCAUCAAGCAGUCUCAAUCAGUGCAUGCCUACUUCUUUGAAGAUGAACCUAAUUUAAUGAGGAAAUGGCAGCAAAGCAACUUGCUUAGCUAAAAGGGUGUCCAGACGACGUCAUUUCCGUGAGGAAUUUCUACAGUCACCCUGGCCUGUGAACACUGUGCGGGGACGUGUUUAGGCUUCUAAUGUGAGGAAAAACACGGAAUGACAAGUGUGGGAAAGAGCAAGCACUAAAUUACUGUCAGAAAAAUAAACGGAGUAGCACAGUGGUGCUCGGUGAUUUACGGGGGCAAUUAGUCCCCACCCCACGGCGCUGCUGAGGACAGCACGCGGCAGGCGCGCCGGGCCCACGAGGAAGAAGAGGCUGCUGCUCUCCAGACAACUUUUCAGACUCCCAGGCGGGACCCUGGAGCACGUUCGGUUCCGUGUCUUGGUUCUGGGUGCCCACCCCUCACGUCAGCCCCCCAGCUGCAGGCAGACACGUCGCUUUAACACGAUGUGAAGCUCUUGGGUGUGUGUUCGGAAAGCUUCCAACUGCAGCUUGUUUCCACUCCCACUGUCCAGGAAGGGGACCCCUCGCUUCAAAGACACAACAGAAAAGCACCUGUCCUCGCUCCCAAAGUGUCCCCCUGGUGUGUGCCUUCGCUCCAUCUCAUUAGUGCCUGCGUCUCACUACCUGUCCUGCUGGGCAGAGAGCCCGUGGGUGCUGAGGAAUGUGGCCUGCAGGUCCCAGUGAGCUGGUGUAGGGAGGGCUGAACCAGGCUGCAAGACCCAGAGUCAAUGAGAAAGGUGCCUCAGCGCCCCGUGUUCCCGGAUAGUCUGUGGAGCGUCUGUGCUCUGUAGGGUAGUGAGAUAAGCCUGCCAGGGUAUAAUUACUGGUGCGCCUUCCGGAGGAAAUACGCACCAUGAGAAGGAACCUCGGAUGGAAGACCGGGAAGGAAUCCAGGGAAGACCGAGUCUUUAUUGACCAGAGGCCUCAUCUGUGCAGGGCAAUAGCUGAGGUGGACGAAGGAGCCUUCACCGGAAGUUCAGUGUUCUCCCCAGUGCUAGCUAAGAGCGCUGCCAGCUUGCCUGACUGCAGUCCUCCACACAUCACACAGGACAUCCGUACCUCUGCUCAUUCCAUCUUGCCCUGGCUUUAGCCAAGGACAUCUGCACGGUCAGCACUGUGUUCGGUAGGUGGGGACACCGUUGGAGAAAGUGCCCCAGCACACGCCACCUUUGACCUGUGACCUGGAGUCGUGAAGAGGCAGAACCACGUGGAUGAGCUCGGGCCCAGCAUGGCGCACCAUUCCACGGGACGCUUCAUUUCUGAUAGAGAGGGUCACAGCUGGGGAAAACUUCAGAUUUCACUCGCUACUCUUCUCCAUGUUAUUAGGCUCCCCCGACCCUGGAAGUUGAUAAACACAUGCCUUUUAAAACAAAUUCAUAAUAAGCACUGGGAUUUGAUAUAGCCUUGUAUAUUUCUAACUGCGGUAGCAUUGGUUUUCAACUACCGUUUAACCAGGAAAGCAAGUCAGCUGGUAAAGAAGGCAAAUGUGUUUUUCUAUAAUAUCACAGACAUAUGAACUUGUUCCGAUCUUACUGGAUACCAGCAAUGACUUCGAAAUUAACUAAGAAUGUUUUGUAUCAGUAAACAAAGCCCAUUUUAAAGUUACCUAGUGCAUUUUUCACAUUUUUCCUCUUUCCUCAAAUCACACUUUUAUUUCUGACAAAGGGACACGCUGGAAAAACUGCCUCAAUAUACAAAAUGAAAUUCCAGGUAUAAAAAUUCUGUAUUUCUAACAAAUCUUGUUUUUACUCUUUGAUUUAAACAGAGCACUAUGAAAGUAUUACCCCUACAACGGGCACAUGUUUAUAUGCAUGCUGUUUUUGUUUAGAGAUUAGGAGCCACAGAAGAGUGGAAACGACCUUGGUUGGUGUGCUUAUUGAUAGAAAUGAUAGCCUUUUUCUGUCUGGAUUCUGGUCUCUACUAAUCAUGAAACUUCCAUACAUUUCAAAGAGAGGACUUGGACAGGAUGAAAAUAGGAGGCUGGGGCUUCCUGCUUGCCCCUGCGUGUGUGCUUGUGCACAAUGUGAUUGCAAUCUUCAGAGUUGGCUGUAAUCUAUAAUUCCUGGCUAUUAUUUCAGUUGCAGCUAUAAUUUUUAGAUUAAUGGUUAUAAUUUUGGUGAGGCCUACAUGAAAAGUUACAUGCUCAUGCGUGGGAGGAGGAUCAUUAAAUAUUCAUUAUUACCACUCAAAUUAGUUGUCAUGCUUUACAUAACAGUUACCCGUUAUCAUUUCACUAGUUUAGAUUCAGCAAUAAGUGAACAGCGAUAUAUAGCUCAUAGCAGUAGAGGAAUUAUUUUGCUAGGGAACAGGGAGAAAAAUGAUUUAAAAACCCAUUUGACAUAUUUAUGUUGACAAAUUAUUUAAAGGAAUUACUGUGUUGUCAAUAAACACAUUUGUAUGGGGGAAUAGGAUUGUGGCUGGAUUUGCUUCUAGCUGUUUAAUUACUCUAGCUAUGAAAAACAGGGCUUCUUCAAAUGAAAAAAUUAAACAUAUAAAGGUUGAGAUAUUUUCAUCUUUGGCAGACACCUAACCUUGCCAUGAAAAGGCACUUUUCAUUUUUGUAAGCAAACACUAAAAUCUUGCUAUUUCAGCGAAGCUAGGUUGUGUGAUUUGUGAGUUUUCCCCCAUCUGGUGUAGAUCUCUUCUUCAGAAAAAAAAAAAAAAAAAAAAAGAGCAAAGAGUAAAACAAGAGAUGGAUUUCAUAAAUGUUGAUGAACGGAUGGAGAUCGUGUCACAUCAGUGCAUUUUGAAAAGGCAUGGAGUGGAGAUAAAGAAACACAAAUCUACUGUAGGGUAAAAACAUUUGAUUUUUGUCUUCUAUGUCCCCUGGUAUGCCAGUUUAGUUUUGUUAGGACACUAAGGACAGUCACAUUUUGUUGUUGUUGUUGACCAUGUAUCUGAAUCAUUCCAUACUUCUCAGUAAUUUGAAACUGACUCUUCUCCUGUAGAAAAUAAACAUAAAUUUGAUUCUGAACUCAUCUAACUUUAGAGCUUUCUGUCUGAAAGAGUCAAAGUGGAGCUGAUGAACAAACACAUUUUGCAUUUUUCCACAUUGCAUCUGGAAUCUUCAUAAUGAUGGUUUAUUUUUAUUUUUUUUUUUCUGCACAGAAGAGAAAAACUGUAUAGGUCCAUGAAUCAAUCUAGAUAAUGGGGAAGGCUGAAUGUAAUAAAUAAUACAGUAACAACCCUAAACUAAUGAGCUGUUGC